GUACACAACACUACGCAAAACGAACCGCAAAACCGAUAGCAUCAAACAGUCGGAACUUCUAACUCAUGAACAACAUUAACAGCUGUAACAACCAGAAAAUGUAAAGAUCAAAGAUCGGGCCCCGGUUCCGGACCCCGCGUACCCGCCCUACCUGAGACGAUCACCUGAUCUCGCCUCCCUCAUUUUGGCCACUAGAAGGCCUGCAUCAGCCCGUGUCGGCUGUUAUGCCCACUCUCCCCAUCAAUCGAGACUUAGCCGGACAUUUCUCUCUUCAGUAGAUGCGUAUAAUUGGUUGCGUUUCUUAUAAUUAUUAACAAUUUUAACAUAUUUUUUCUCCUAUUUUUACAGGGUAUCCCCAAUCUGCAAUUUAUUCUAUGCAAGCUAAAAUUGUCUUCAAUUCGUCAACAGGCGACGAAACACUGCAAAGUUAUUGCCAGUCAAGAGAAGAAAAAACAACGAGAUAUAAACACCAGACGCAAUAAUAUUAUUGAUCUUCGUUGCCUAUGCACUAAAACUCAAGCUGUGCAGGAAAACCACUGUAAUUGAAGUUACAGGCACUCCCACCAGUAACGAACAGCGCCCAGAUAAUGUUGACGUAACAGAAACUCCCCCGGAAAACCACAUAAAAAAACAUAGAAGCAUCCACGAUCUACCUGGUUUCUAACAAUCGACCGGGACGUUCGAGAUCAGCGAGGGAGGAGUUAAUACCUAAGUUAUCCAAAUAUCAACUUUGGAUAAUCAGCUUGCCAACAUUUGGUUCCCGCACGUGGCCAUUCAACGUGCUGGGAAAAGCUGAAGUAAGAUGUCGCGUAUGCAAUUUUAGGUGCAUAGGAGGUCAACGCGCUCGUUGGACAGCCAAACCGUGGGAUCGCAAAUUCGGCACAAUUAUGGCACAUGCCAAUAAUUGAGGAAUCAGCGGAACCAAUAAAGUUUAUUGGUUCCCAAGAAAUGCGAACCCCUGCGAAAUGCAGAAUGGGGGCAUUUCCGCAUAUGCAACAACACCAAGCUGGAGACGCCGACGCCGACGCCGACUGCGACGCUGCUUCGUUGGACUGAGGUUUCAGUAGGUAUUAAUUAAGUUACAAAAUUUAGUUUUAUAAUUUGUACUCAAGAAAAGCACAUAGUGCUGAUAAACAAAUAAAAAUAGUUUUUUUUAUAAUUCAA